rnacentral:rRNA from 1 species
AACCUGGUUGAUCCUGCCAGUAGUCAUAUGCUUGUCUCAAAGAUUAAGCCAUGCAUGUGUAAGUAUAAGUAUUAUACGGCGAAACUGCGAAUGGCUCAUUACAUCAGUUAUAAUUUAUUUGAUAAUCGAAAGUUACAUGGAUAACCGUGACAAAUUACAGCUAAUACAUGCAGUCAGACCUGGUCCAAGGGUCGUAAUUAUUAGUACCAAGCCACUUCCGCAAGGAGUGUGAUGAUUCAUAGUAAUCGAACGAAUCGCAGAUCAUUGCGAUAAGUCAUUCAAGUUUCUGCCCUAUCAGCUUUGGAUGGUAGUGUAUUGGACUACCAUGGCAGUCACGGGUAACGGAGAAUUAGGGUUCGAUUCCGGAGAGGGAGCCUGAGAAACGGCUACCACAUCUACGGAAGGCAGCAGGCGCGAAAAUUGCCCAAUCCCGACUCGGGGAGGCAGUGACAAGAAAUAACAACUCUAGGUUUUCUUAGAAGUGUAAUGAGGAUAAUUUACAAACCUUACCAAAUGCAAUUGGAGGGCAAGUCUGGUGCCAGCAGCCGCGGUAAUUCCAGCUCCAAUAGCGUAUAUUAAAGUUGUUGCAGUUAAAAAGCUCGUAGUUGAAGUUCUGAUUGGCUCAGGUCCUCAGUCUUUAGACGGGGAUUCUGACAGUCAUCCGCUUGCAAGCAUAUGUUCGACCUUCAAAAGUCGGCUAUGUGAGUAAGCAAUUUACCUUGAGAAAAACAGAGUGUUCCAGGCAGGUUUGUCCGGGAUGCAUUAGCAUGGAAUAAUAGAACAUGACUGAAGUCUAUUUAUUGGUUUAAGGCUUUAGUAAUGAUUAAUAGGAACAGUCGGGGGCAUUCGUACUCAGCAGUCAGAGGUGAAAUUCUAAGAUUUGCUGAAGACGAACUAAUGCGAAAGCAUUUGCCAAGGAUGUUUUCAUUAAUCAAGAACGAAAGUUAGGGGAUCAAAGACGAUCAGAUACCGUCCUAGUCUUAACUAUAAACGAUACCGACUCGGAUUCAGAUGAAUCAUAAUGUUCAUUUGGGACCGUAGGAGAAAUCAAAGUCUUUGGGUUCUGGGGGGAGUAUGGUCGCAAGGCUGAAACUUAAAGGAAUUGACGGUUUUGCACCACCAUGGAGUGGAGUCUGCGGCUUAAUUUGACCCAACACUGGGAAACUCAUCAGGGCAAGAAGAUUUUAGGAUUGACAGAUUGAGAGUUCUUUCUUGAUUGGUCUAGUGGUGGUGCAUGGCCGUUCUUAGUUGGUGGAGUGAUUUGUCUGGUUAAUUCCGUUAACGAACGAGACCUUAACCUGCUAACUAGUACUCUGAUCCUUAAUCGGAGGUACUUCUUAGAGGGACUAUGUGUGGUAAGCACAUGGAAGUUUGAGGCAAUAACAGGUCUGUGAUGCCCUUAGAUGUCCUGAGCUGCACGCGUACUACAAUGGCACUUUCAACGAGUUUUUCCUGAUCCGAAAGGAUUUGGGUAAUCUUUUCAGGGAGUGCCGUGUUUGGGAUAGUUCUUUGUAAUUGUGGAACUUGAACUAGGAAUUCCUAGUAAGCGCUUGUCAACAUCAAGUGCUGAUUACGUCCCUGCAAAAUGUACACACCGCCCGUCGCUUUUACCGAUUGAAUGGUCCGGUGAAGCCUCGGGACUGUGGCAUGCUCCCUUCAUUGGGAUUGUGACGCAAGAACUUGUCUAAACCUUAUCAUUUAGAGGAAGGUGAAGUCGUAACAAGGUUUCCGUAGGUGAACCUGCAGAAGGAUCA